UUUCCCCAAGGACGUGUGAACAGGAAGAGAGCCCAUGCUCUGACCUGUUGAAGUGCCAGAGCUCCAGGAUUCCAUCUUUUGUGAGCCAUCACCCAUGCUGGGGGUGAUACAGCUGCCUUUGAGUUGUCUCUGAUCCUGUAAAUAACCACUCAUCCAUACUCUUAUCUAGGGAAAUGAUCACAGAAUGGAACUUGGGACCUAUAAGCACACAUUGAGAUGGACCAGACCUGACACUCUAUGGAUCUUCUUACCUCUGUCUCAUGUAUUCCAGGCUGACUUUGAACUCACUAUGUCAUGGAGGAUGACCUUGGAUUUCUCCUGUCCCUAUCUCCCAGAUGCUAGGAUCACAGAGUGGUGAGGCAGCCGUCUCAUGCUCCUGCUGAAGCAGCGAUGAGCUGCUCCCACUGCCAGGAUGGACUGGGCAUCCACACAAAAUGCUCCUUCCUUGAGUUGUUUCUAUCAGGAAUUUUGUCACAGAAACAGCUGCAAGAAACACACCAAUUCUGUUCCACCUCAGAGGCUAGGGAACACCUUGUCACAGUUCAGCCCUAGGGAUCGUAAAUGACUUCUCUUCCUAUGGGCAUCAUGCGGCCCUGCUGCUCCAUGGACACAGCUGUGCUUACUGGACAUCUGAGCAGGAAGUUGUAGGAUGUAGCACUCUCAGCUCCAGCACCACGUCUGCCUGCACGCCACCAUGUGUCCUGUCACAAUGAUAAAGGACUGAACCUCUGAAACUGAAAUGAAAAAGUAUGGAUUCUUUCAAAGUUAAUAGAGAUCAGAUUUGACCAGGGGAGACUUCCGGAGGAUCUUGGCUACAGACUGAGGGAAGAAAACAGGAAAGACUACAGGGCAGGUGACGUGUGUGCUGAUGUCUCUGCAUGGGAACAGCUCUGAGACUAGAUGAGACAUGAUAAAUUUUGUUGGCUACAGAGUCCUAUUGACUUAUUAUUAAAUUCCAUCCUUUCAUAUGGAAUGGAUAGAAGUUUGGUUAUACAGUCCAAACAGACUUACUAAGUUAACCUGCUCAAACAUAAAAUAAAAUGUCAUCUUUGGCUGACUUGUACACAUUACACAUUCCAUACUUGUGUUAAUGCAGAUAUAUAUGUUACCUUUAAAAGUUUAUGUGUUUUCAGGGAAAAAAAGGAAGAGACACCAAUAAAGUAGCCCAGAUGAUCCAGCCUCA